UACGUAGGGGGCAAGCGUUGUCCGGAAUCAUUGGGCGUAAAGAGCGCGUAGGCUGCCAGAUAAGUCCGGUGUGAAAGUCAGAGGCUCAACCUUUGAAUGCCGCUGGAAACUGUCUGGCUAGAGUCCGGAAGGGGCGAGUGGAAUUCCUGGUGUAGCGGUGAAAUGCGCAGAUAUCAGGAAGAACACCAAUGGCGAAGGCAGCUCGCUGGGACGGAACUGACGCUGAGGCGCGAAAGCGUGGGGAGCAAACAGG
rnacentral:rRNA from 1 species